rnacentral:rRNA from 1 species
UACAGAGGUUUCGAGCGUUGUUCGGAUUCAUUGGGCGUAAAGGGUGCGUAGGCGGCGCUGUAAGUCGGGUGUGAAAUCCUGAGGCUUAACCUCGGAACUGCAUUCGAUACUGCGGCGCUUGAGGACUGGAGAGGAGAGUGGAAUUCAUGGUGUAGCAGUGAAAUGCGUAGAGAUCAUGAGGAAGACCAGUGGCGAAGGCGGGUCUCUGGACAGUUCCUGACACUGAGACGCGAAGGCCAGGGGAGCAAACGGG